CCUACGGGGUGCAGCAGUGAGGAAUAUUGGUCAAUGGACGAGAGUCUGAACCAGCCAAGUAGCGUGAAGGAUGACUGCCCUAUGGGUUGUAAACUUCUUUUAUAUGGGAAUAAAAUGUUCCACGUGUGGGAUUUUGUAUGUACCAUAUGAAUAAGGAUCGGCUAACUCCGUGCCAGCAGCCGCGGUAAUACGGAGGAUCCGAGCGUUAUCCGGAUUUAUUGGGUUUAAAGGGAGCGUAGGUGGAUUGUUAAGUCAGUUGUGAAAGUUUGCGGCUCAACCGUAAAAUUGCAGUUGAAACUGGCAGUCUGGAGUACAGUAGAGGUGGGCGGAAGUCGUGGUGUAGCGGUGAAAUGCUUAGAUAUCACGAAGAACUCCGAUUGCGAAGGCAGCUCACUGGACUGCAACUGACACUGAGGCUCGAAAGUGUGGGUAUCAAACAGGAUUAGAUACCCGUGUAGUC
rnacentral:rRNA from 1 species